GACGAACGCUGGCGGCGUGCUUAACACAUGCAAGUCGAACGAUGAAGCUAGAGCUUGCUCUGGUGGAUUAGUGGCGAACGGGUGAGUAACACGUGAGUAACCUGCCCCGAACUCUGGGAUAACUGCUGGAAACGGUAGCUAAUACCGGAUAUGACCAAUGAAGGCAUCUUCUGUUGGUGGAAAGAAUUUCGGUUCGGGAUGGACUCGCGGCCUAUCAGCUUGUUGGUGAGGUAACGGCUCACCAGGGCGACGACGGGUAGCCGGCCUGAGGGGGUGAUCGGCCACACUGGGACUGGGACGCGGCCCAGACUCCUACGGGAGGCAGCAGUGGGGAAUAUUGCACAAUGGGCGCAAGCCUGGUGCAGCAACGCCGCGUGAGGGACGACGGCCUUCGGGUUGUAAACCUCUUUUAGUAGGGAAGAAGCGAAAGUGACGGUACCUGCAGAAAAAGCACCGGCUAACUACGUGCCAGCCGCCGCGGUAA
rnacentral:rRNA from 1 species